ensembl:lncRNA
GCCACAAUAUGAAACAGGAAAGUACCGCAGUGUAAUCCAUUUAUUUCAACAAAGUAACUGUAUUCUGAAUACCACCUUUUUAAACGGUAACUGUAACGGAAUACAGUUACUCAUAUUUUGUAUUCUAAAUACGUAACGGCGGUACAUGUAUUCCGUUACUCACCAACACUGAUUAUUAGCAUGUGUUAGUUAGGUUUUGUUUAAUUAAAGUUUAAUCCAUGCUUCCUUGUUUAUGUGUCGUUUUCGAGUUAUGUCUUGUUCCCCUUCUCUGUUUCCAUGUUCCUCUCCUUCUGUGUCAUCUGCCCAGUCUGCUAUGUGUUUCAUGUCUGUGUUGUCCAUGUCACGUUGUCACAGUCUUCAUCUCAUUAUAUUUCAUUAUAUUGUUUUUGUCACACAGUGGAAAUUUGUAUUUAUCUUGUAUAUUGUUUUUAUUCUGAUUUUUAGUGUUUAUUUAUGAGUGUUUUAUUUGCAUGGUUUUAUUCUGUUUCUAUUGCAUGGUUUUUAGUGUUUUAUGUGACAUGGUUGUUAUCCACUGUGGACUGGCUGCACUGGCUGCUGAGGCAGGGGUGUGUCCAGAGGUGGCCUAUCAGCUGUGUAAAGACCUUUUAAAAACAGGCUAGCUGGGCACUGAAAGAGAGAGGCCCCAGACUGGAAGGUUAAUGCGAGAUGGCCAGUGUGAUGCGGCGACCAAGUCCUGACCUCAUGGAACGGCAACAGUAAGAGACAACGCGUGUGAUUGGCAGCAGGGCAGAGGUUUACCUUGACACUGACGCAAGGGGAGCUGUGGCGGUGGUCGCAUCAUGGAUUCGGGUGCAGAACGCAAGCCGGGCUGGGAAGUGAUGGGCCAGCGGAAGGACAAGAAGAUGGGUGGCUCUUUCUUGUCUGCUGAAGACGGGGCUGGCGUGGACUCUGCUCUAAAGGAGGAAUUCCUGGCCUGCUGAUGGACCCAUAAUGAACAUGUGGCCUAAUUAUAGCAGGGGGGGUUUUAGUGAAUGUAGAAAAUGGUAGUUUUAUGGGUUUUAGAAUUGUUUUUAGUAGAGAGCAAACAUUUUAUUAUGCACAUUUUAAGGGUGUUUUAUUUGUGCUCCCUGGCCUAGUAAUAAACUGUUUCUGAUCAGACCUGCUCCCUCUCUGUGCCUCUCGUAUCUGACUCGCUUGCUCCCCCUUGUAUUUUAAAGAAUCUUUCUUUUUAGAGUGACAUUCUGGCGCGACCGCUUUAGUGUCCGCAGCGCGUUACAUUUUAUUUUGACAGUCUCGUGUUUCUGUGUUCAGUGAGUUUAGUUUUGCUGUGGGGUCGUAUUCAUUUGUGUGUUCCCCACGUGUUUCUACUUCGCUUAUUACCCUUCUGUGUAUUUAAGUCCUCUGUCUUCCUUUGUUCACUGUCAGAUCGUCUGUUUAGUUCUCAUUAUGUUUCCAUGCCUCCAUGUUUUU